rnacentral:rRNA from 1 species
UACCGGCAGCCCGAGUGGUGAUCGCUAUUAUUGGGUCUAAAGGGUCCGUAGCCGGUUUGAUCAGUCUUCUGGGAAAUCUACUUGCUUAACAAUUAGGCUUCCAGGAGAUACUAUCAAACUUGGGACCGGGAGAGGUAAGAGGUACUGCAGGGGUAGGGAUGAAAUCUUGUAAUCCCUGUGAGACCACCAGUGGCGAAGGCGUCUUACUAGAACGGGUCCGACGGUAAGGGACGAAAGCUGGGGGCACGAACCGGAUUAGAUACCCGCGUAGUCC